CAGGGAGUGCUUGCACUCUGCUGACGACCGGCGCACGGGUGCGUAACGCGUAUGCAAUCUACCUCUUACUGAGGGAUAGCCCAUGGAAACGUGGAUUAAUACCUCAUAGUAUUAUAAACUGGCCUCAGUUUAUGAUUAAAGGUUACGGUAAGAGAUGAGCAUGCGUCCUAUUAGCUAGAUGGUAAGGUAACGGCUUACCAUGGCUACGAUAGGUAGGGGUCCUGAGAGGGAGAUCCCCCACACUGGUACUGAGACACGGACCAGACUCCUACGGGAGGCAGCAGUGAGGAAUAUUGGACAAUGGGCGAGAGCCUGAUCCAGCCAUGCCGCGUGCAGGAAGACGGCCCUAUGGGUUGUAAACUGCUUUUACAGAGGAAGAACCCUCCUUACGUGUAAGGAGCUGACGGUACUCUAUGAAUAAGGAUCGGCUAACUCCGUGCCAGCAGCCGCGGUAAUACGGAGGAUCCAAGCGUUAUCCGGAAUCAUUGGGUUUAAAGGGUCCGUAGGCGGGUCUAUAAGUCAGUGGUGAAAGUCUGCAGCUUAACUGUAGAACUGCCAUUGAUACUGUAGACCUUGAAUUAGUAUGAAGUGGUUAGAAUGUGUAGUGUAGCGGUGAAAUGCAUAGAUAUUACACAGAAUACCGAUUGCGAAGGCAGAUCACUAAUACUAUAUUGACGCUGAUGGACGAAAGCGUAGGUAGCGAACAGGAUUAGAUACCCUGGUAGUCUACGCCGUAAACGAUGGUUACUAGCUGUCCGGCCUAAUUGAGGGCUGGGUGGUUAAGCGAAAGUGAUAAGUAACCCACCCUGGGGAGUACGUUCGCAAGAAUGAAACUCAAAGGAAUUGACGGGGGCCCGCACAAGCGGUGGAGCAUGGUGGUUUAAUUCGAUGAUACGCGAGGAACCUUACCAGGGCUUAAAUGCAGUCUGACGUAUCUGGAAACAGAUAUUUCUUCGGACAGAUUGCAAGGUGCUUGCAUGGUUGUCGUCAGCUCGUGCCGUGGAGGU
rnacentral:rRNA from 1 species